CGAAGACGAUGCUGUAUAAAGACUAUACGAAGGUUCAACAGGAAGAAAGAGAGGAUAUCAGCUUCAACCAAUCAAUGAGAAUUGAAGAUUACAGAAACGAACUUCAUGGCAUUGAUAAGUGAUGAAUACCCUGAAAAAGAAACAAAACUCCAUCACUACCCUUUCUCAGCAGGAACGAACCUUUCAACUGAAAAAAACAAAAUGUGAACUCUUUGUAAACCUUGUUAGGCAGCUGUUAAUAAAUCCAGGAACGAGCCUCAUGAUAUUGAAACGAAGAUCACAAGAAAAGACACAGACUUCCGCCACUGUAAGAUACUGCUGUAACCAGAAAUUUUAAGCUAUCUUAAUGAACAAUUUGACUAGUAAUAGUAUCAACCUACUACUG